rnacentral:rRNA from 1 species
GCCUACGGGAGGCAGCAGUGGGGAAUAUUGCACAAUGGGGGAAACCCUGAUGCAGCGACGCCGCGUGAACGAAGAAGGUAUUCGUAUCGUAAAGUUCUGUCCUAUGGGAAGAUAAUGACAGUACCAUAGAAGAAAGCUCCGGCUAAAUACGUGCCAGCAGCCGCGGUC